CUCCUUUCAGAAUGGCACCUGGAGAGUUUCCAGUUCUCUACCAGUCUUGGCUACGAGAGGGAGAGUCAAGCAGAGGCACACCCAUUCCAUUCCUAGCUUGGACAGUGGCUAGCAAAUGGAAGGCAAUCUGCUACAAGU
rfam:Ornithorhynchus anatinus chromosome X1, whole genome shotgun sequence.